rnacentral:rRNA from 1 species
AUACGUAUGUCGCAAGCGUUAUCCGGAUUUAUUGGGCGUAAAGCGCGUCUAGGCGGCUUAGUAAGUCUGAUGUGAAAAUGCGGGGCUCAACCCCGUAUUGCGUUGGAAACUGCUAAACUAGAGUACUGGAGAGGUAGGCGGAACUACAAGUGUAGAGGUGAAAUUCGUAGAUAUUUGUAGGAAUGCCGAUGGGGAAGCCGGCCGACUGGACAGAUACUGACGCUAAAGCGCGAAAGCGUGGGUAGCAAACAGGAUUAGAUACCCUGGUAGUCCACGCCGUAAACGAUGAUUACUAGGUGUUGGGGGUCGAACCUCAGCGCCCAAGCUAACGCGAUAAGUAAUCCGCCUGGGGAGUACGUACGCAAGUAUGAAACUCAAAGGAAUUGACGGGG